AUUGAACCACCGGUUUCCGUACGAUUAUCGAAGUUAGGCAACGUCGAGCUUGCUCAGUACCGAGAUAGGUGACCGCUUGAGAAUACUAAGUGCUGUAAG